GCUCCUGUGGUGUAGUCCGGCCAAUCAUCUCGGCCUUUCGAGCCGAUCACGGGGGUUCGAAUCCCCCCGGGAGCA
rnacentral:tRNA from 1 species